GGACCUUUGGCGCAGCGGUAGCGUGUCUGAUUCCAGUCCAGAAGGUCAUCCGUUCAAAUCGGGUAAGGUUCA